ensembl:lncRNA
AUGAUGGAGCAGUUCAAACUACCAUCGCCACUGGUGUUGACAGGCAACUUGGGAGAAAACUGGAGAAGAUGGGAACAGCGCUUCCAAAUCUACAUGACCGCGAGUGGUGCAGAGGGUAAGGAUGAAAAGAUCAAAGUUUCCAUCUUACUGCACGCACUAGGAGAGGAGGCUCUCGAAGUGUAUAACACACUUAACCUUCCAGAAGAAAAGACUGUGAAAGAUGUUCUCACAGCUUUUGAAGCAUAUUGUCUGCCCAAGAAGAAUACAGUGUUUGAAAGGCACCAAUUUUGGGCGCACCCUAUGACAGCCUCUGUCUCCAUUGAUAAAUAUGUGACGGAGCUCAGACAAAAAAGUAAGGACUGUGAAUUUGGCGUCUCGGAAAACGACAUGAUCAGAGACAAGAUUGUGUUCAGUAUGAAUGACCAGCGUCUUAAAGAGAGACUUUUAAGAGAGCCAAAUCUUACAUUAGAAAAGGCCAUAGACACUUGCCGUGCUGCUGAGAUCGCCAGAGCUCAAAUAGAAGCAAUGAGCGCAGCCACUCAAGAGAGAUCUGUACAUACAGUGCAUAAGAAAAAACAGGACAGUCAACCACGCAAUAAAGGACCAAAGCAACCUUUUCAACACACACAAAGCAGUGGACAUGUAAACACAUGCAGAAAAUGUGGAAAAUCACACCAGCCCAAACAAUGCCCAGCAUAUGGAGUUUCCUGCCACAAGUGUGGUAAACAGAACCACUAUGCAAAGAUGUGUGGGUCAGGUAAAGCACAGCAUAGAAGGACAGUGCAUGAUAUCAGUCCAGAAAUUGACACUCUGUUUAUUGGAACAGUGAACAUUGACCAGCUCGACUCCAGCCUUGACAAGUCCUGGUACUCUGAAGUACAGGUUGACAACAUGUCCGUAAGGUUCAAAUUGGAUACAGGAGCAGAGGCCAAUGUCCUACCACUGAGGAUGUUUAAGUCCAUGAAAAGGAAGGCCAGACGAGAAAGGAGAGCACACCUGCAACUACAGCCCACAAAAACAGUGCUGGUGGCUUAUGGAGGGAUGAGGCUGAGGCCAGAGGGGUUACUCACACUCAAGUGCUCUACACCCAAAGCUCAUGCAAGUCUGCCGUUUUACAUAUCGAGACACUCAUCCACACCUAUCCUAGGGGGAGAUGCUUGUGUAGACUUGCACCUGGUAAAAAGGCUGGACAUCGACAAACUGGAUGUGAAACAUCCAACUACGAAGGAGGAGCUGAUAGCUCCACACCCAACAGUCUUUGAAGGUCUGGGGGAGUUUGCCGGAGAAUAUCACAUCCACACAAACCCCAAGGCUACGCCAGUCAUACAUGGCUGCAGAAAAAUACCACUGGCCGUGAUGGAUAAACUCAGAGACACUCUUGAUGACCUGUUACAAGCAGAUGUGAUUGCACAGGUGACGGAGCCAACACCAUGGGUAACUAGCCUUGUAAUCACAGAAAAGAAAGAUAAGAAGAAAUUGAGGGUUUGCUUGGACCCCACUGAUUUAAACAAAGCAAUACUAAGACAGCACUACUCCAUCCGCACAACAGAUGAAGUUUUGUGCAAACUUGCUGGUAAGAAGAUAUUCACAGUGCUGGAUGAGAAGGACGGCUACUGGCAAGUAAAGCUUGACAAGGAGUCAUCGCUUGCUCAUGGUGGUACUGUUGGGUCUCUGUAA